CGCUGGAGUGUCAGAGGCUUGGGCAGGAGAUAAUUCGCCGUUGUGCUUGGAAAAUCCUGCAGUUGUACCUGCAACAGGCACCUGAGGAGGCUGGGCAAAUAUUAAUAUAUAAUACUUACUGAGUGCUUCCUAUGAACUAGGACCUCUGAGAAGAGAUUUAUGUGCAGACCUCCUCUAACCUUUCCAGCAGCCCAUGAGAUGCAAAAGAAAGACUUCUGGAUUCACAAAGCUCAUUUACUCAAAGAGGAGAUCCAAAAUAAGUGGAAAAGAUACUUACAGAGAAGUCAGGAAGAUCAUGGGUCGAUGGCGUAAAAUACAACUAAUAAGAGAAUCACCACGCAGGGUCUAUAUCAAAAGGUCAAAGACCAUGACGUCCCAGGCAUCGCCAGCCAGAAAGCUGCCAUGGAGCCUUCAUUGAACCCUUACCAUGGGACAGCCACUGAGCUAAGAGCAUUGCAUGCAUGAGCUCACAUAAUCCUCACAACACCAAAUGGAGAUAUCAUUAGCUCCAUUUCACAGAAGAAGCAAUCAAGGUUUACAGACAAUAGAGAACCUGGCAAAGUCAUCCAGCCUGUGUGUGGUAGAAGAAGAUUUGAAUUAAAUACUUUCCGCCUCCAAAGUCCUUGCUGUUAACUGAGCCGUGCUGCCUCCCAGAUGGUCACAGUCAUUGCUCCCUUCAUCUGAAUUUCCUCUUCUCUGUGCAUGCUUUUUCUCACAUGGGUAAGUAUCAAAAACUUUUCCUGUUCUCGGAUUUUAAGCCUUCUGGUUUUCUUUAAAGCACUCGGAAAAUCCUAUCUUUUGCUGGAAGUUGUCCUGACUGAAGGGAGCUCAGUCAAAAACUCCCCAUCUGCAUCCCAGGCAAACUCGUUGUCCCUUCCACUCCUCAGCAGUCACUCAGGCAUUAAAUAUUUAUAGGAUCUCAUUCCUGCAAACCAUUACCAUCAGUGGUAGAACUGAACUGAACUCAUUGACUGGAAAUAUAUGGCUCUUGGUUCCUUUUUUUUUUUUUUGCUUCUUUAGUCCAGUCCCUUGGUUUAUUUGUCUAAUGGCUGUGCUGGUAUAACACCGAUUUAGUUAUUAUUGCUCUAUAAUAAAUCUUAAUAAUGAAAGGGCAAGACCCUCUUUCUUCUUACUCAUUGUCAGAAGUGUGUAGGCUAUCCUUCCAUAUUUGUUAAACUUAAUUUCAUGAGAAGCCAUUUUGUAAUUUUAUUGAAAUUGCAUGAAAUCUACAGAUGAAUUUAGGAAGAAGUGACAUCUCUAUGGUAUUGAGUCUUUCAAACCUUAGUAUGGCACAUCUCUUCCAUAAUACAAGUUUUUCUUUCAUCCUUAAAGUUGUAUAGUUUUCUACAUAACAAUCUUACAAAAAUGUUUAAUAAGUUUAUUUCUUGGUGCCUUUCACUAUUUCUUACUAUUAUGAUUGUGUUCUUCUUUUCUAUUGUAUUUUCCAUCUGGUUAUUUUAAGAGCACCAGAAAGCUAUUUUGUUUUUGCAUGUUGAUCUUUGUAUCCUACAAACAUUUCAAGGCCUCUUAUUAGUUGUAUUAUUUGUUCAUUCACUCUGAUUUUUUGUGUGCAUAUGUUAUCUGCAAAUUGGACAGUUUCCAUUCUUUUAAAUCUUUAUACUUCAUUUUUUAUUGUCUUAUUGAAUUUACUAGGACCUCCCGCACAAUAUUCAGCAAUAAGAAUGACAGCAAACAUCCUUAUCCUAUUCCUACUUGAAAAGAAAUGUUUCCCAUUUUACUAUUAAGUAUGAUGUUAACCAUAGAUUUAUGGUUUAGCUUAAGGAUACUCCCUCCUUUUCGUAAGUUGCUUAAAAUUUUUAAUUAUAAAUAUACUGAAUUUUAUUAAAGACUUAUUUAUUCUAAUAAUAUUUUAAUGUGGUCAUUUGAAUUUUAAUAUUUAAAAUAUUGUUCCAUUCCUAAGAUAUACCCUACUUGGUCACAGUGAAAUAUCUUUUAAAAAUUUUUAUUUUUCUAUUACGUGG
rnacentral:lncRNA from 1 species